AUUAGGUUAUGGGGCUAGGGUAAGGUUUAAGGCUUUUGGCAUUAGGGUUAAAAUCACUGUCCAAUAUUUUUAAGGAACAUGUUUCAGACCUUUUGGAGUUAGUUAGACAAAAAAAAAAAGAAAAAAGAAAAAAAAAUAUUUGGGGUUUUCGGGCUUCCUGAAGGUAUUAGGUUUUGGGGCUAGGGUAAGGUUUAAGGUUUUUGGCGUUAGGGUUAAAAUCACUGUCCAAAACCUUUUAAGGAACAAGAUUCAGACCUUUUGGAGUUGGUUACACAAAAAAAAAUAUAAAAUGAAAAAAAAUAUAUUUGGGGUGUUCGGGCUUCCUGAAGGUUACUCAACCCUUCAGGUUUAAGUAUUAGGUAAUGGGGCUAGGAUUAGGUUUAAGGUUUUUGGCGUAAGGGUUAAAAUCACUGUCCAAUAUUUUUUAAGGAACAUGUUUAAGACCUUUUGGAGUUGGUUACACCAAAAAAAAUGUAAAAUGAAAAAAAAAAUAUUUGGGGUGUUCGGGCUUCCUGAAGGUAAUACUAGGUUUCUGGGCUAGGGUAAUGUUUAAGGUUUUUGGCGAUAGGGUUAAAAUCAAUGUCCAAAACCUUUGUAGGAACUCUUUUCCAACCUUUGAGAGCAAGUUCGACCAAAAAAAAAAGAUAAAUAAAAAAUAUAUAUUUGGGGUGUUCGGGCUUCCUGAAGGUAAUACCCGGGUAUUAGGUUAUGGGGCUAGGGUAAGGUUUAAGGUUUUUGGCGUGAGGGUAAAAAUCACUGUCCAAAACCUUUGUAGGAACUCUUUUCCAACCUUUGGGAAUUAGUAAGACAAAAAAAAAAAGAUAAAUGAAAAAAAAAUAUUUGGGGUGUUCGGGCUUCCUGAAGGUAAUACGCGGGUAUUAGGUUUUGGGGCUAGGGUUAGGUUUAAGGUUUUUGGCGUUAGGGUUAAAAUCACUGUCCAAUAUUUUAAGGAACAUGUUUCAGACCUUUGGGAGUUAGUUAGACAAAAAAAAAAAAGAAAAAGAAAAAAAAAAUAUUUGGGGUGUUCGGGUUUCCUGAAGGUAAUACCAGGGUAUUAGGUUUUGGGGCUAGGAUUAGGUUUAAGGUUUUUGGCGUUAGGGUUAAAAUCACUGUCCAAUAUUUUUUAAGGAACAUGUUUCAGACCUUUUGGAGUUAGUUAGACCAAAAAAAAAAGAAAAAGAAAAAAAAAUAUUUGGGGUGUUCGGGCUUCCUGAAGGUAAUACCCGGGUAUUAGGUUAUGGGGCUAGGGUAAGGUUUAAGGUUUUUGGCGUUAGGGUUAAAAUCACUGUCCAAAACCUUUGUAGGAACAUGUUUCAGACCUUUUGGAGUUGGUUACACAAAAAAAAACGAAAAAUGAAAAAAAAAUAUUUGGGGUUUUCGGGCUUCCUGAAGGUAAUACCCGGGUAUUAGGUUAUGGGGCUAUAGUAAGGUUUAAGGUUUUUGGCGUGAGGGUUAAAAUCACUGUCCAAAACCUUUGUAGGAACUCUUUUCCGACCUUUUGGAGUAAGUUACACCCAAAAAAAUGUAAUAUGAAAAAAAUAUUUUGGGGGGUGUUCGGGCUUCCUGAAGGUAAUACUUUGUAUUACCUUUGUAGGAAGUCUUUUCCAACCUUUUGGAGUUAGUCUUUUGUUGGAAGUCUUUUCCAACCUUUUGGAGUUAGUUAGACAAAAAAAAAAAGAUAAAUGAAAAAAAAUAUUUGGGGUGUUCGGGCUUCCUGAAGGUAAUACCCGGGUAUUAGGUUAUGGGGCUAGGGUAAGUUUUAAGGUUUUUGGCGUUAGGGUUAAAAUCACUGUCCAAAACCUUUGUAGGAACAUGUUUCAGACCUUUUGGAGUUGGUUACACCAAAAAAAUGUAAAAUGAAAAAAAAAUAUUUUGGGGUGUUCGGGCUUCCUGAAGGUAAUAC